CCUAUAUGGUGACCUGGUGGCUGACCAUGUGCCUCCAUCAUUUUGGGAUGUGAACUGAUAGGAAUAAGAUGAUUCCAAAAGACCAGGACCAAGAGAAUCUGCAUCAGAUGGUUAUUUACCCUACUGCAAUCUGUCGCUCUACCAACACUGAACACUCAGGAUAUUGUUUAACAAGUUCAGACAAAGGAUGUAGGCAACACCAAUCAGACUAGACAAAGGAGUUCAGGUUAGAGACACAUGGUACAUGGAAGGAAGCUGUGCACAGAAC